rnacentral:rRNA from 1 species
GCAAAACGCGCCAAGGAACUUCAAUGAAUCAGCAAUGGCCCAGCGCCCCAGAAWUGGUGUGUGUUCGGGGCGUUCCGUCGUAUUCUUCAUGUCAAAACGAYUCUCGGCAACGGAUAUCUCGGCUCUGGCAUSGAUGAAGAACGUAGCGAAAUGCGAUACUUGGUGUGAAUUGCAGAAUCCCGUGACCCAUCGAGUCUUKGAACGCAAGUUGCGCCCGAAGCCAUUAGGCUGAGGSCACKUCUGCYUGGGCGUCACACAACGUUGCCCCCCCCCUCGACUUCGAGGAUGGGUGGCGGAUGCUGGCCUCCUGUGCGCCAUGGCUCGCAGUUGGCCCAAAUGCGAGUACUCGGCGAUGAGCGCCGCGGCAAUCGGUGGUUGUCCAACCCUCGGUGCCACGCUGCGCGCGCGAGUCGUUCCUUUCCACUCGASGAUCAUAAUGCGUCGUAGCCACGACGCUCACAACGCGACCCCAGGUCAGGCGGGGCUACCCGCUGAGUUUAAGC